GAGUUUGAUCGUGGCUCAGAUUGAACGCUGGCGGCAUGCCUUACACAUGCAAGUCGAACGGCAGCAUGAUCUAGCUUGCUAGAUUGAUGGCGAGUGGCGAACGGGUGAGUAAUACAUCGGAACGUGCCCUGUAGUGGGGGAUAACUAGUCGAAAGAUUAGCUAAUACUGCAUACGACCUGAGGGUGAAAGUGGGGGACCGCAAGGCCUCAUGCUAUAGGAGCGGCCGAUGUCUGAUUAGCUAGUUGGUGGGGUAAAGGCCCACCAAGGCGACGAUCAGUAGCUGGUCUGAGAGGACGAUCAGCCACACUGGGACUGAGACACGGCCCAGACUCCUACGGGAGGCAGCAGUGGGGAAUUUUGGACAAUGGGCGAAAGCCUGAUCCAGCAAUGCCGCGUGUGUGAAGAAGGCCUCGGUU
rnacentral:rRNA from 1 species